UACGUAGGGGGCAAGCGUUGUCCGGAUUUAUUGGGUGUAAAGAGCGUGUAGGCGGCCAUACAGGUCAGCUGUGAAAACUCGAGGCUCAACCUCGAGACGUCGGUUGAAACCGUAUGGCUAGAGUCCGGAAGAGGAGAGUGGAAUUCCCGGUGUAGCGGUGAAAUGCGCAGAUAUCGGGAAGAACACCCGUGGCGAAGGCGGCUCUCUGGGACGGUACUGACGCUGAGACGCGAAAGCGUGGGGAGCGAACAGG
rnacentral:rRNA from 1 species